GCGACUACUACAUUGUAGCGAGCCCGAGAUUCGUGAAUGAGUCAGUUUGGGCCAGAGUAACUGGUGUUGGCAUUUUGCACUACUCGAAUUCCAAAGGCAAGGCAUCUGGUCCUCUCCCUGACGGUCCUCAAGAUUUCUAUGACAAGACUUGGUCAAUGAAUCAGGCGAGAUCUAUCAGGACAAAUGGUACGGCUGGUGCUGCUCGACCAAACCCUCAAGGAUCUUUUAUGUAUGGUUCUAUCAAUGUGACCCAAGUAUACCUAUUGAAGAAUGAGCCUCCUG
rnacentral:misc_RNA from 1 species